GCCAACAGUUCGCGGGUAACGGUAUCACGGCCAAGCUUGACUUUACCGUGCAUACCACGUCCUAGUUCUUUUAUAAUCUCAUAGUGGUUAAUGUAUUUACGACCCGAAAACCGAUCAAACCGCUUUCUUAUCUUUUUUGUUUCCUUCACCUCGCCCCAUUCUUGCAGGCGCUUCCACUGGCGCUGAGCCUCUUGAAAAUUAUCAGAAUAAAGACGCUGGUUAUGCUUACCAGGUUGAAAAGUCCAUGAGUGAGUUAACGAACUUCCUUCACGUUCUCCGCCCAACGGGGCUAUUACAUAAUCUCCCGCGCUGUAGUUCCGUUUACGAAAUGAAUCGGACGUUUUCUGGAUGGCCUUGUGGACGGGAUAUUCAGGAAAGACAGAAGGAGGAACUUCGCUAUCGUCUACCUCUGGAUGCCAAGUAUUUUUCCGUAAAAGACGUUGUGGCUCAAUUAAAGUUUUUUCUUCAUUAUUCACUGAUCCCAUCAGGAAGUGUUCCUCGAGUCCUCUUAAAUAGCUUCAAUAGUC